CCUUUCCCCUUCCGAUCUCUCAAACUCGCGCUCGUUUCCCUUCGAAUCGCUCCGCACCUACCCGUCUCUCCUCUGUUCCUCUCUCGCAUCGCUUGCUUCCGCAUCGAUCCAGGGUUAGGGUUUCCCGGUCCUUUUGGCCAUGAAUCUUCACGAUCUUAACAAGGUCUGGGAGAUCAAAGCCCUCAAGAAGCCCGGCGAGGAAGAGGCACGCCGCCUCCUCGAUCGCAUCGCCAAGCAGGUCCAGCCCAUCAUGCGCCGGCGCAAUUGGAAGGUCAAGCUCCUAUCGGAGUUCUGCCCAGCCAAUCCGGCUCUUUUGGGGUUAAAUGUUGGAGGCGGCGCCCAGGUGAAGCUUCGCCUGAGGAGGCCCAACAGGGAUUGGGAUUUCUUCCCCUUCGAGCAGGUCCUCGACACGAUGCUCCACGAGCUCUGCCACAUCGAGCACGGCCCCCACAAUGCCGCUUUCUACAAACUCUGGGAUGAGUUGCGCAAGGAAUGUGAAGAACUGGUUGCAAAGGGAAUAACUGGAACUGGGCAGGGAUUUGAUGCCCCUGGAAGACGCUUAGGUGGCUUCUCUCACCAACCACCAGUAUCAUCCCUUCGGCAGGCUGCAGUUGCUGCUGCAGCAAAACGGGCUCGUGUUGGCGCUUUGCUACCAUCUGGACCUAAAAGAUUAGGUGGAAACACUGAAAUUAUGGAUGCACUUAGUCCAAUACAAGCUGCUGCUAUGGCUGCAGAGAGAAGGAUGUAUGAUGAUAUAUGGUGUGGGUCUGUGUCAGAUGAACCCACUGGUGCUGUAGAAAGUAUCUGCGGAAUCUCUAAGUAUCCUUCAUCUACAGAACAAGGUGAUUCAUCAAGAACUUCUGAUGAUGGGGUACGAGGGGAGGACUUUGUACUAAGGGGUCCUAGUAAUAUAGAUAAGGUUGGGAGUAGCUCCCACUCUAAGUGCAAGAACCAUGAGUCUACAACUGAUUGCUUAUCUGGUGGGGCACCAGUAGCUGGUGGAUCGACAUUCCAUUACCCAAAAGAUGGUGGUGAAGAUCAAGCAAUUUGGGAAUGCAGCUUAUGCACUCUAUUCAAUCAACCAUUGGCACUAAUAUGCAAAGCUUGUGGAGCUCAAAAACCAAAAGCUAUUGGAUCUAAAUCUAAGACCUGGUCAUGCAAAUUUUGCACCCUAGAGAACAGCACUAAGCAAGACAAGUGUACAGCCUGUUGUCAGUGGAGAUAUUCAUAUGGUCCGCCGGUAUCUACCCAUGGACCCAAUUAUGGGACUUGAGUGAUAGAUGCAACUUGAUAAUGUAAAUGGUGAUCGUACUGUAUGCUUUUUGUUGAUGGAAUAUUUGGCAUGGAGUUUGGGAGCCUGAGCAAUGGGAUACCAUUUUUGUGCCUUGGGUUACUGGUCAUAGUGCUUUUGUGGUUAAAAUGUAGGUGAACAAGCCGAAUGCAGGUCAUUAUUUCGAUGGCCUACAUUGUGGCUUCAUCUCCAUGGAUAUCGAUCUGCCACAAAGCCUCCCAUCUUUUUCAGUGUUCAGUUCCAGGUGCUAUUUUCCUGACCAAAGAAUGCUUUUGCUUAUUUUACUUAAUCUGUCUUAUAGUUUUGCAAUAUAUUCCUACAUGCAAACUGUUAAUGGAAGUCCAAUCUUAUACUAUAUGGAAAUUUCAACUUGUGAUUCAUGUCAUCCUCUGAACUAGCUAAUUUGAUGUUUUAUACUCUUCAAAUA